GAUGAACGCUGGCGGCGUGCCUAAUACAUGCAAGUCGAGCGAACAGAUGAGGAGCUUGCUCCUCUGACGUUAGCGGCGGACGGGUGAGUAACACGUGGAUAACCUACCUAUAAGACUGGGAUAACUUCGGGAAACCGGAGCUAAUACCGGAUAAUAUAUUGAACCGCAUGGUUCAAUAGUGAAAGACGGUUUUGUUGUCUCUUAUAGAUGGAUCCGCGCCGCAUAAGCUAGUUGGUAAGUUAACGGCUUACCAAGGCAACGAUGCGUAGCCGCCCUGAGAGAGUCAUGGGCCACACUGUCAUUGAGACACAAGCCAAACUCCUACGGGAGGCGACAGUAGCGAAUCUUCCGCAAUGGGCGAAAGCGUGACGGAGCAACGCCGCGUGAGUGAUAAAGGUCUUCGGAUCGUAAAACUCUGUUAUUAGGGAAGAACAUAUGUGUAAGUAACUAUGCACGUCUUGACGGUGCCUAAUCAGAAAGCCACGGCUAACUACGUG
rnacentral:rRNA from 1 species